rnacentral:rRNA from 1 species
UACGUAGGGGGCAAGCGUUGUCCGGAUUUAUUGGGCGUAAAGAGCUCGUAGGCGGUUUGUCGCGUCUGCUGUGAAAUCUGGAGGCUCAACCUCCAGCCUGCAGUGGGUACGGGCAGACUAGAGUGCGGUAGGGGAGAUUGGAACUCCUGGUGUAGCGGUGGAAUGCGCAGAUAUCAGGAAGAACACCGAUGGCGAAGGCAGAUCUCUGGGCCGUAACUGACGCUGAGGAGCGAAAGCAUGGGGAGCGAACAGG